GCAUGGCAGAAUUCUGUGUUACUUUCCCUGUAGUAAAUACAGUCAGACACCAUGCCAAAGGAUUGUUUUCACAUGACUAAGCAAGAUCUGCUUUCAUUCAUGGGCCUGUUUCUGAACGUCAGAGUGAACACAGCA
ensembl:snoRNA SNORA15B-1 small nucleolar RNA, H/ACA box 15B-1